rnacentral:SRP_RNA from 1 species
ACUAGGUACAGUAGCAUGUGCCUGUUACCCCAGCUACUGGGGAGGCUGGGGUGGGAGGAUUGCUUUAGCCCAGGAGUUUGGGCUGUGGUGCACUAUGCCAGUCAGGUGUCCACACUGAGUUUGGCAUCAUUAUGGUGACCUCCCGGGAGCAGGGAACCCUCAGGUUGCCUAAGGAGGAGUGAACCUGUCCAGGUCAGAAACGAAGAAGGUCAAAGAACUCUCAUGCAGAUCAGUAAUGGGAUUCUGCCUGUGAAUAGCCACUGUACUCCAGCCUGGGCAACAGAGUGAGACCCUGUCUCU